UGGACAUUCAAUCAUAGUUAGUUACAAACAGGUAGUCGGACUGACAUUGUCUUUGUUUUUGGUACAACACGACGUUUCGGUCGGCUUAUAUAUGAUUAAUGGGAUCAAUGAGGCGUGAAUUCUGAUGAUUCGUGAAGAGAGCCUCUGCUAGAAGAGGUCUCUUAUGUUGGGAACAUCCACACUGGGUUGGCUGAAGACGUCCUGGUUUUGCGUUAUACCAGUGAAUAUUAUGGCCAUUUGUCCAAGCGUGUUCAGCAAUGCCUGACCUGGCUACUUCUCCAGUACUCGUCCAUUUGCGAUGUUUCUUGGUCCUAACUGCCAAAGGUCUUUUGGUUUCGCCAACAUAUGAGUCGCCACACUCACAAGGGAUAUGGUAGAUGCAGUUUUUGGUGUCUGCUGAAGAUUCUGGCUUUGUUUUGGAAACAGAACUUCUUAUUGUAUUGCCAGAUCUAAAGGCGGUUUUUAGUUUAAACUUCUUAGCAAUUCGUCGGAUUUUCUCGGAUGUACCUUUUAUAUAGGGGAUUGCGAAAAGCCCAGUUGAUUCAUCCUCUUGCUUGGUUCUAGUUUCCUUCGCCAUCGACCUCUGGAUAGUUUUCUGGAUAAGUUUUUCGGGAUAAUCAUUCUGCUGCAGAUCUUUGGUAAGAAGUGCUACUUCCGCCUUAAAGUCUGCGUCGUUAUUGCAGAUGGUUACGGCUCGGUUGUACAGAGACCUGAUGAUUCCAACUUUAGCCAACAAAACUUUAGAUACACAGACGUUGUUAUAAUACCAUUUGUAUUCUUGACAAGAACAUCUAAGAAUGGCAGCGUCGAAUUUUUCUCCGUCUCCAUGGUGAAUUUGAUACUUGGCACCAUGUUGUUCAGGUGGUGUAAAAAGCCCUAAAGUUUGUCUUCUCCUUUAUCCCAGAUGAUAAAUGUGUCAUCAACGUAUCGCAGCCACAUCUUUAGCUUUUAUCGUGAGGUGCUGAUUGCCUGUUCCUCAAACCAUUCCAUAUAUGUGUUGGCUACCACCGGAGACAACGAUGAUCCCAUUGGCAGACCCUCAACCUGACCGUAAAACCUAUCUUUCACUUGAAAAUAGGAAUUACGUAGGCAGACCUGCAAAAGUUCCAUCACUCCUCCGAGUUGGAAGCUUGGAGGAGUGAUGGAACGGAAGCUUGGUUCGAGACGGAAGUGACGUGUCAUUACUCAGUUUAUCCUGGAUAAUCUUCAGGGAAUCUCCAAUCAGGACAUUGGUGUAAAGACUUUCCACGUCAAAGCUAACCAUUCUAUCCUCUGGUCCGAUGUUGAUAGGUCGAAGUAGAUCCACAAAAUGACUGGAGUUCUUGAACGUAUGAAUCAGUAUUCCCUUGGAGUGGUUUGAUUAUUUCUAAAAGGAACCUAGAAAGUUCUGACGUUGCCGAAUCCCUUGAGCUAGUAACGGGUCGCAGUGGUAUCAAUUCCUUGUGAACCUUUGGUAGUCUAUAAUGAUGUGGAGGCUUACCGACCGAAACGUCGUGUUGUACCAAAAACAAAGACAAUUUCAGUCCGACUACCUGUUUCUACAUUACCAUUGUCUAUUACUUUCAAAAAUAAACAUAGUUAGUUACCUCAAAUAAAAAUCAUAAGCGUGGGGUGCAUUUUACUUCAUUUUCAUAUCUCUUCUCUCAUAUAUCGAGUACCCCACGCUUUUUACUCUGAUUUGAAUUAUUCUGUUAAUAACUUAAAUUUUAUUAUGAUUUUUAUUUCAGGUAAUUAAUUGUGAUUGAUUAUCCGACCUUUUACUACUGUAAUAAAAACUCUUUGUAAUUAAAAAAUAUAUUCUACUUUUAAGUUCGAUUAGCA